rnacentral:rRNA from 1 species
UACGGAGGGUGCGAGCGUUGUCCGGAAUCAUUGGGCGUAAAGGGCGCGUAGGUGGCGGCUUAAGCGUGCGGUGAAAGCUCGGGGCUCAACCCCGAGUCGGCCGUGCGAACUGAGUCGCUUGAGCACUGUAGAGGCAGGCGGAAUUCCGGGUGUAGCGGUGGAAUGCGUAGAGAUCCGGAAGAACACCGGUGGCGAAGGCGGCCUGCUGGGCAGUUUUGCUGACACUGAGGCGCGACAGCGUGGGGAGCAAACAGG